AUUGAACGCUGGCGGCAGGCCUAACACAUGCAAGUCGAACGAGUGGCGGACGGGUGAGUAAUGUCUGGGAAUCUGCCUGAUGGAGGGGGAUAACUACUGGAAAAGGUAGCUAAUACCGCAUACCAUCAGAUGUGCCCAUAUGGGAUUAGCUAGUUGGUGGGGUAAAGGCUCACCAAGGCGACGAUCACUAGAGGGUCUGAGAGGAUGACCAGCCAGACUGGAACUGAGACACGGUCCAGACUCCUACGUGAGGCAGCAGUGGGGAAUAUUGCACAAUGGGCGCAAUCCUGAUGCAGCCAUGCCGCGUGUAUGAAGAAGGCCUUCGGGUUGUAAAGUACUUUCAGCGGGGAGGCGUUACCCGCAGAAGAAGCACCGGCUAACUCCGUGCCAGCCGCGGCGGUAAUUC
rnacentral:rRNA from 1 species